rnacentral:tRNA from 1 species
GGAGUUGUGGCUCAGCAGUAGAGUGCUCACCUGGCAGGUGUGAGGUGCUGAGUUCCAUCCUCAGCACCA